CCGAGUUUACAACUCCCAAACCCCUGUGAACAUACCUAUACGUUGCCUCGGCGGAUCAGCCCGCGCCCCGUAAAACGGGACGGCCCGCCAGAGGACCCCUAAACUCUGUUUCUAUAGUGUAACUUCUGAGUAAACAAACCAUAAAUAAAUCA
rnacentral:misc_RNA from 1 species